rnacentral:rRNA from 1 species
CCUGACGCAGCGACGCCGCGUGAGGGAAGAAGGUUUUCGGAUUGUAAACCUCUGUCUUCGGGGACGAAACAAAUGACGGUACUCGAGGAGGAAGCCACGGCUAACUACGUGCCAGCAGCCGCGGUAAUACGUAGGUGGCAAGCGUUGUCCGGAAUUACUGGGUGUAAAGGGAGCGCAGGCGGAACUGCAAGUUGGGUGUUUAAUCUACGGGCUCAACCCGUAUCAGCAUUCAAAACUGUGGUUCUUGAGUAAUGCAGAGGUAGGCGGAAUUCCCGGUGUAGCGGUGGAAUGCGUAGAUAUCGGGAGGAACACCAGUGGCGAAGGCGGCCUACUGGGCAUCAACUGACGCUGAGGCUCGAAAGCAUGGGUAGCAAACAGGAUUAGAUACCCUGGUAGUCCAUGCUGUAAACGAUGAUUACUAGGUGUGGGAAGAUUGACCCUUUCCGUGCCGCAGUUAACACAAUAAGUAAUCCACCUGGGGAGUACGACCGCAAGGUUGAAACUCAAAGGAAUUGACGG